rnacentral:rRNA from 2 species
UGCAGUCGAGCGGACAGAAGGGAGCUUGCUCCCGGAUGUUAGCGGCGGACGGGUGAGUAACACGUGGGUAACCUGCCUGUAAGACUGGGAUAACUCCGGGAAACCGGAGCUAAUACCGGAUAGUUCCUUGAACCGCAUGGUUCAAGGAUGAAAGACGGUUUCGGCUGUCACUUACAGAUGGACCCGCGGCGCAUUAGCUAGUUGGUGGGGUAAUGGCUCACCAAGGCGACGAUGCGUAGCCGACCUGAGAGGGUGAUCGGCCACACUGGGACUGAGACACGGCCCAGACUCCUACGGGAGGCAGCAGUAGGGAAUCUUCCGCAAUGGACGAAAGUCUGACGGAGCAACGCCGCGUGAGUGAUGAAGGUUUUCGGAUCGUAAAGCUCUGUUGUUAGGGAAGAACAAGUGCGAGAGUAACUGCUCGCACCUUGACGGUACCUAACCAGAAAGCCACGGCUAACUACGUGCCAGCAGCCGCGGUAAUACGUAGGUGGCAAGCGUUGUCCGGAAUUAUUGGGCGUAAAGGGCUCGCAGGCGGUUUCUUAAGUCUGAUGUGAAAGCCCCCGGCUCAACCGGGGAGGGUCAUUGGAAACUGGGAAACUUGAGUGCAGAAGAGGAGAGUGGAAUUCCACGUGUAGCGGUGAAAUGCGUAGAGAUGUGGAGGAACACCAGUGGCGAAGGCGACUCUCUGGUCUGUAACUGACGCUGAGGAGCGAAAGCGUGGGGAGCGAACAGGAUUAGAUACCCUGGUAGUCCACGCCGUAAACGAUGAGUGCUAAGUGUUAGGGGGUUUCCGCCCCUUAGUGCUGCAGCUAACGCAUUAAGCACUCCGCCUGGGGAGUACGGUCGCAAGACUGAAACUCAAAGGAAUUGACGG